rnacentral:rRNA from 1 species
GACGAACGCUGGCGGCGUGCUUAACACAUGCAAGUCGAACGGAAAGGCCCUGCUUUUGUGGGGUGCUCGAGUGGCGAACGGGUGAGUAACACGUGAGUAACCUGCCCUUGACUUUGGGAUAACUUCAGGAAACUGGGGCUAAUACCGGAUAGGAGCUCCUGCUGCAUGGUGGGGGUUGGAAAGUUUCGGCGGUUGGGGAUGGACUCGCGGCUUAUCAGCUUGUUGGUGGGGUAGUGGCUUACCAAGGCUUUGACGGGUAGCCGGCCUGAGAGGGUGACCGGCCACAUGGGGACGGAGAUACGGCCCAGACUCCUACGGGAGGCAGCAGUGGGGAAUAUGGCACAAUGGGCGGAAGCCUGAUGCAGCAACGCCGCGUGCGGGAGGACGGCCUUCGGGUUGUAAACCGCUUUCGCCUGUGACGAAGCGUGAGUGACGGUAAUGGGUAAAGAAGCACCGGCUAACUACGU